GCAGAAAUGCAUUUUCAUCAAUUAGUGCUCUCAUCUCCCUUUGUGCUCAAACACAAGGCUACAUUCAGACUUCAGGACCCGAAUGGCCUGAAUAGGGGCAGAAACACCUAAUAUAUGUGAGUGGUGGGAAAAUAAAUCUAUGAAACCUACAAACAGGGCAGGCUUGACUUACUAGUGGUUCAGCUUGGGACUUAGAAAUCCAAAAUAACCAACAUUUUUCCUAGGGCCUUUCCUACUCUCCAAGUGCCUUUUGUAAUGUGAAAUCCACAUGCUCCUGCUACACUUUUUUUAUGAGCACAAGCUGCCGGGACGCAAAGCCCUGGCUCAGCUGGUAGCACUUUGCAGUAAUAUGCUGGAAUCCUGAGCCUGGGAGCGAGCUCUGGCUUCCUGCUGUGAGGACCAGCAGAAGCUACAUGCAUUACUGCGGUAAUGCACAGCCCCGGGGGAACAGGAAAAGGAGAGAAGGGUGCGCCAGGGGAAAGGGCAGUUUGUAGUUCUCCCCAGAGCCCCAAACAGUUGCUAAAGAACUGCGUCCACAUGAACUUCAGGUAAAAACAGUCUCUUUACUGUCCCUGCUUGGAAUGGAGGCUGAAGGAGGAGUUAUGGAAGAAGCAAAAACAGAAAAUCCCUAUCAACCAGAAAACCCCCUGAUUUGUGCCUUCUUUGGAUGAAUCAGCCAGUAUUACAUAUCGACAAGCACCGGUUUAACAAUAAAGUGUGACGCUGAUGGUGACACCACCACAAUGAUGUGAGGCACCAGGGGAUAUCUAAAGAUCGCAUUGGCUGAAAUACUCGCUGCUUGAGACGCAACCUAUGCUGUCCGGUUGAAGGAUGCCGCACAAAAAUGCCAUGAUCUUCCGGACUUGGCACAUGCCUCGAGAAACCAACCACAUCGCAGUCUGGUCUUGAAGGGGUGAAUUACCUGAGCUGUGCCCGAAGCUUUAAAAUUUAGGCUCCAUAUGUU